CAGCAGCCGCGGUAAUACGUAGGGUGCGAGCGUUAAUCGGAAUUACUGGGCGUAAAGCGUGCGCAGGCGGUUCGUUAAGACAGAUGUGAAAUCCCCGGGCCUAACCUGGGAACUGCAUUUGUGACUGGCGAGCUAGAGUAUGGCAGAGGGGGGUAGAAUUCCACGUGUAGCAGUGAAAUGCGUAGAGAUGUGGAGGAAUACCGAUGGCGAAGGCAGCCCCCUGGGCCAAUACUGACGCUCAUGCACGAAAGCGUGGGGAGCAAACAGGAUUAGAUACCCCCGUAGUCCCUGUCUCUUAUAC
rnacentral:rRNA from 1 species